GCUGGGCAUGGUGGCACAUGCCUGUAAUCCCAGUCGCUCAGGAGGCUGAGGCAGGAGGAUUUCGAGUUUAAAGCCAGCCUCAGCAACUUAGCAAGGCCCUAAAUAACUCAGUGAGAUUCUGUCUCUA
rnacentral:sRNA from 1 species